ACAAAGUUAACGUGUCUUACCUAGGUUUGCGUAGGGAACCGUCUGUUGAAAGAGCGUGCUUGAAUAUAAUUGAAGUGAUGGAUUGGAGGUUAACGAUUGUGUCGCUUUCUUUUCUUUCCUAUCCUAUCCUAUCCCUAUCUAACUUCCAUCCCUUCCAUGCCAUGCCAUGUCGUGUGUGUUGGUGGGCUAUCGAUCGACUCGAUUGAGCGCUAGUUCGGUGCGAUGAGCACUAAGGAACAAUGAACUCGGACGCCGCGGGCCCGCCCCUUCAUCGUGCGUGCCCCAAGGGGAGCCCAAUGCGCCAGAGAUUCUUCGGAAUCCAUCCAUCCAAAUCAAAUGACUCUCAGUCAAUUGACUAUCUUGGCUCUUGCUCUCGCUUAAGAACGUUGUGAAAUGCGAUACUUUGUGUGAAUUGCAGAAUCUUGUGAACCCUUUAGUCCUUUGAACGCCAGUUGUGGCCCGAUGCCUUCUGGCCGAGGGCAGCGCCUGCUUGGGCGUCCUUGCAUUUCCGGCCUUUGCUCCCUUUUGGUGCAUAGCGGCGUCAAAUUGGCCCCGUUUGGCCUCGGGCACCGUCGGUCGCAGAGCGGUGUAGCCAUCGGCAUUCGUCGGGCUCGAUGGGUGUUGGUCGACCGUUAGUCGGGAACGAGACACAUUCGCUCCCCGUCGUUUCGGGAUGAUUCCUCAAGAGUCCCUGUGUGAUUGUUCUGUCG
rnacentral:rRNA from 1 species